rnacentral:rRNA from 1 species
AAAUUGAAGAGUUUGAUCAUGGCUCAGAUUGAACGCUGGCGGCAGGCCUAACACAUGCAAGUCGAACGGUAGCACAGAGGAGCUUGCUCCUUGGGUGACGAGUGGCGGACGGGUGAGUAAUGUCUGGGAAACUGCCCGAUGGAGGGGGAUAACUACUGGAAACGGUAGCUAAUACCGCAUAACGUCGUAAGACCAAAGAGGGGGACCUUCGGGCCUCUUGCCAUCGGAUGUGCCCAGAUGGGAUUAGCUAGUAGGUGGGGUAACGGCUCACCUAGGCGACGAUCCCUAGCUGGUCUGAGAGG